rnacentral:rRNA from 1 species
UAGGGAAUCUUCGGCAAUGGACGGAAGUCUGACCGAGCAACGCCGCGUGAGUGAAGAAGGUUUUCGGAUCGUAAAGCUCUGUUGUAAGAGAAGAACGAGUGUGAGAGUGGAAAGUUCACACUGUGACGGUAUCUUACCAGAAAGGGACGGCUAACUACGUGCCAGCAGCCGCGGUAAUACGUAGGUCCCGAGCGUUGUCCGGAUUUAUUGGGCGUAAAGCGAGCGCAGGCGGUUAGAUAAGUCUGAAGUUAAAGGCUGUGGCUUAACCAUAGUACGCUUUGGAAACUGUUUAACUUGAGUGCAAGAGGGGAGAGUGGAAUUCCAUGUGUAGCGGUGAAAUGCGUAGAUAUAUGGAGGAACACCGGUGGCGAAAGCGGCUCUCUGGCUUGUAACUGACGCUGAGGCUCGAAAGCGUGGGGAGCAAACAGGAUUAGAUACCCUGGUAGCCCACGCCGUAAACGAUGAGUGCUAGGUGUUAGACCCUUUCCGGGGUUUAGUGCCGUAGCUAACGCAUUAAGCACUCCGCCUGGGGAGUACGACCGCAAGGUUGA